rnacentral:rRNA from 1 species
UCCGUAGGUGGAUAAUUAAGUCAGAGGUGAAAUCCUGCAGCUCAACUGUAGAAUUGCCUUUGAUACUGGUUAUCUUGAGUUAUUAUGAAGUAGUUAGAAUAUGUAGUGUAGCGGUGAAAUGCAUAGAUAUUACAUAGAAUACCAAUUGCGAAGGCAGAUUACUAAUAAUCAACUGACACUGAUGGACGAAAGCGUGGGGAGCAAACAGGAUUAGAUACCCUGGUAGUCC